rnacentral:rRNA from 1 species
GACGAACGCUGGCGGUGUGCUUAACACAUGCAAGUCGAACGGUAAGGCCCUUUCGGGGGUCCACGAGUGGCGAACGGGUGAGUAACACGUGAGUAACCUGCCCUCAUCUCUGGGAUAACAGUCGGAAACGGUUGCUAAUACUGGAUAUGAGCUUGCAAGGCAUCUUGUGGGUUGGAAAGAUUUUUUUUGGUUGGGGAUGGACUCGCGGCCUAUCAGCUUGUUGGUGAGGUAGUGGCUCACCAAGGCUUCGACGGGUAGCCGGCCUGAGAGGGCGACCGGCCACAUUGGGACUGAGAUACGGCCCAAACUCCUACGGGAGGCAGCAGGGGGGAAUAUUGCACAAUGGACGGAAGUCUGAGGCAGCAACGCCGCGUGCGGGAUGACGGCCUUCGGGUUGUAAACCGCUUUCAAUUGUGACGAAGCUUUUUUGUGACGGUAGCAGUAGAAGAAGCACCGGCUAACUACGUG